AAUAAAGUUGUGUAUUAACAAACGUGUAAGUUAUAUUUCUUUGUGUGUUAUUAAAAUUUUAAUGUCAUGACGUUUCAUAUAUUGCAUUGUUAUUGUAUCUAUCGUCAUAGUGUAAGAGACGGGAACAAUUUUAAUUAUAUUUUCGUAUUAAUUGUGAAUGAUUUUAUUUGCAUGUUAAUGUACUAGGUACAUGAUACCUUAAUAUUAUACAUUGCGUAUUUUUUUUAUUAAUAAUGUUACUUUACAUUAUAAUGUUUGUGUGUAUGUAAUGUUAUGUUGUUCGAUCGUAGGACUUUAUUAGAUUGUAUUGUUGGCAAAUGGCCGCAAUGAUGCCAAGAGAGGACAUCAUAACGUUAUAUCAAACACCAUGGCUGCAGACUAGUAAUUUUUAUAUGUUAAGUAUCUUUUUUAAAAUAAAUGUUCGUGUGUUUAUAAAAAUGUUUCACCGACUCCUGAACUAAUCUUGUAUUAUGUUUCACAUUGUUAUUUUUUGUCUGUCAGCAGAAUUGUUAGGGUUCGUUGUGCGAGUUAGUAAUCUAAAUAAAGAUAAUUUAAUUUGAUUUUGUUUAAAAAUGUUCCACAUUUUUUUUGAAAAGGGGGGAAUAUUGUAGGUGCUGUGCUGACGCAGGAUUUUCGGCCGCGUCGCACAGUCACAUAGCGUCGCCCCUCAGUUGUCCCAUAGCUCGCGCCACCGACCCACGUUUUGUAGUUAGUGAAUAUAAAUAGUAUAUUUUUGUGUAAUUUAGAAGAAAUAUAAAAUUUAAUUGGCA